rnacentral:sRNA from 1 species
CUUAUUUAAUCAUCGCUGCAUGAGUUU